rnacentral:rRNA from 1 species
UACGGAGGGUGCAAGCGUUGUUCGGAAUUAUUGGGCGUAAAGGGAGUGUAGGCGGUUUGCUAAGUCUUCUGUGAAAUCUACGGGCUCAGCCUGUAACGUGCAGAGGAAACUGACAGACUUGAGUGUCGGAGAGGAUAGUGGAAUUCCCGGUGUAGAGGUGAAAUUCGUAGAGAUCGGGAGGAACACCAGUGGCGAAGGCGACUAUCUGGCUGACAACUGACGCUGAGACUCGAAAGCAUGGGGAGCAAACAGG